CACGUAGGCACCAAGCGUUGUCCGGAUUUAUUGGGCGUAAAGAGCUCGUAGGCGGUUCGGUAAGUCGGGUGUGAAAACUCUGGGCUCAACCCAGAGCCGCCACCUGAUACUGCUGUGACUAGAGUGCGGUAGGGGAGCGGGGAAUUCCUGGUGUAGCGAUGAAAUGCGCAGAUAUCAGGAGGAACACCAGUGGCGAAGGCGCCGCUCUGGGCCGUGACUGACGCUGAGGCGCGAAAGCUAGGGUAGCAAACGGG
rnacentral:rRNA from 1 species